rnacentral:rRNA from 1 species
AUUGAACGCUGGCGGCAGGCCUAACACAUGCAAGUCGAACGAGUGGCGGACGGGUGAGUACUGUCUGGGAAACUGCCUGAUGGAGGGGGAUCACUACUGGAAACGGUAGCUAAUACCGCAUACCAUCAGAUGUGCCCAGCUGGGAUUAUCUAGUUGGUGGGGUAACGGCUCACCAAGGCGACGAUCCCUAGCUGGUCUUAGAGGAUGACCAGCCACACUGGAACUGAGAAACGGUCCAGACUCCUACGGGAGGCAGCAGUGGGGAAUAUUGCACAAUGGGCGAAAGCCUGAUGAAGCCAGGCCGCGUGUAUGAAGAAGGCCUUCGGGUUGGAAAGUACGUUCAGCGGGGAGGCGUUACCCGCAGAAGAAGCACCGGCUAACUCCGUGCCAGCCGCCGCGGUAAUUC